UACAGAGGUCCCGAGCGUUGUUCGGAUUCACUGGGCGUAAAGAGUGUGUAGGCGGUGCUCCCAGUCUGUUGUGAAAUCUCCCGGCUUAACUGGGAGGGUGCAGCGGAAACUAGAGUGCUAGAGGGUGGGAGAGGUAAGCGGAAUUCCUGGUGUAGCGGUGAAAUGCGUAGAUAUCAGGAGGAACACCUGUGGUGUAGACAGCUUACUGGACCACUUCUGACGCUGAGACACGAAAGCGUGGGUAGCAAACAGG
rnacentral:rRNA from 1 species